GACAGAGGGUGCAAACGUUGUUCGGAAUUACUGGGCGUAAAGCGUGUGUAGGCGGCCGUGCAAGUCGGAUGUGAAAUCCUCGGGCUCAACCCGGGAAGUGCACCCGAAACUGCAUGGCUCGAGUACCGGAGAGGUUGGUGGAAUUCUCGGUGUAGAGGUGAAAUUCGUAGAUAUCGAGAGGAACACCUGUGGCGAAAGCGGCUCACUGGACCACAACUGACGCUGAGGCGCGAAAGCUAGGGGAGCAAACAGG
rnacentral:rRNA from 1 species